rnacentral:rRNA from 1 species
UGGAUUAGGCAUGCAAGUCGUACGAACCUUCGGGUUAGUGGCGAACGGGUGAGUAACACGUGGGUAACCUGCCUCGUAGUGGGGAAUAACUCGCCGAAAGGCGAGCUAAUACCGCAUAACACCCCCGGUGAGAAUCCGGGUGGUAAAAGCUCCGGCGCUACGAGAGGGGCCCGCGGCCGAUUAGCUAGUUGGUGAGGUAACGGCUCACCAAGGCUACGACGGAUAGCCGGUCUGAGAGGAUGAUCGGCCACACUGGCACUGAGACACGGGCCAGACUCCUACGGGAGGCAGCAGUUAAGAAUCUUGCGCAAUGGGCGAAAGCCUGACGCAGCAAUUCCGCGUGGAGGACGAAGGCCCUCGGGUCGUAAACUCCUUUUGCGAGGGAAGAAGUUCUGACGGUACCUCGCGAAUAAGCCACGGCUAACUACGUGCCAGCAGCCGCGGUA